GAAAGACUAAUAUAUAUACUACAAAAUAAUACUGGUUCACCCAGUAAGCACAUGAAUUUGCAUAAACCCAAUAGAAAUGGAACUUCGAAUAACACGUUUAACGACCCUUUGGCCUUCAAUCCAUCAUUUUCAGGUCAUUUUGUUAUUCUGUACAGGUUUACUAUGCUUGCAACCACCUACCGAUUGUCUCAGGAAUUUGGGAAAUGAAACUGAUCGACUUGCACUCCUGGAAUUCAAAUCCAAGAUAGGCGAUGAUCCACAUGACGUCUUCAGCUCCUGGAAUGAUUCUGUCAACUUCUGCAAAUGGCAGGGGAUUACUUGUGGCCGAAAACACCACAGAGUUACUUCUCUAAACCUGUACGGGCUGAGCUUGUCUGGAACCAUUUCUCCGUUUAUAGGGAACCUCACCUUCUUAAGGUUCCUCAAUCUUCGCAACAACAGCUUCCAUGGUGAAAUUCCUCAAGAAGUUGGCCGCUUGUCCCGACUGAGACACCUCAACCUGACAGAUAACAGAUUGGGAGGUGAAAUUCCACUCAACAUCACCUACUGCUCAGAGCUCCGAAUCCUGAUAUUGGCUAGAAAUAGAUUUGUGGGUAAAAUUCUCGAUGAACUUGGCUCUUUGAAAAAGCUUGUGUCACUUGACCUCUACGGAAAUAAUCUCACAGGAGAGAUCCCACAUUCAUUUGGAAACCUUUCGUCCUUCA
rnacentral:misc_RNA from 1 species